AGCGAACGCUGGCGGCAGGCUUAACACAUGCAAGUCGAACGCCCCGCAAGGGAAGUGGCAGACGGGUGAGUAACACGUGGGAACGUACCCUUUGGUUCGGAAUAACUUGGGGAAACUCAAGCUAAUACCGGAUAAGCCCUUAUGGGGAAAGGUUUACUGCCGAAGGAUCGGCCCGCGUCUGAUUAGCUAGUUGGUGAGGUAACGGCUCACCAAGGCGACGAUCAGUAGCUGGUCUGAGAGGAUGAUCAGCCACACUGGGACUGAGACACGGCCCAGACUCCUACGGGAGGGAGCAGUGGGGAAUAUUGGACAAGGGGGGCAACCCUGAUCCGGCCAUGCCGCGUGAGUGAUGAGGGCCUUAGGGUUGUAAAGCUCUUUUACCCGGGACGAUAAUGACUGUACCGGGAGAAUAAGCCCCGGCUAACUUCGUGCCAGCCGCCGCCGUAA
rnacentral:rRNA from 1 species